rnacentral:rRNA from 1 species
ACACUCCUGCGGGAGGCAGCAGUGGGGAAUUUUGGACAAUGGGCGAAAGCCUGAUCCAGCAAUGCCGCGUGUGUGAAGAAGGCCUUCGGGUUGUAAAGCACUUUUGUCCGGAAAGAAAUCCUUGGCUCUAAUACAGUCGAGGGAUGACGGUACCGGAAGAAUAAGCACCGGCUAACUACGUGCCAGCAGCCGCGGUAAUACGUAGGGUGCGAGCGUUAAUCGGAAUUACUGGGCGUAAAGCGUGCGCAGGCGGUUUGCUAAGACCGAUGUGAAAUCCCGGGCUCAACCUGGGAACUGCAUUGGUGACUGGCAGGCUAGAGUAUGGCAGAGGGGGGUAGAAUUCCACGUGUAGCAGUGAAAUGCGUAGAGAUGUGGAGGAAUACCGAUGGCGAAGGCAGCCCCCUGGGCCAAUACUGACGCUCAUGCACGAAAGCGUGGGGAGCAAACAGGAUUAGAUACCCCUGUAGUCCCAUG